UUCAAUGGCGGUUCAGGCAGGGGAGACGUAAGUCUCGCUGGUAUGAGUGCCAGUCUGCUAACCCUGCUUGAAUCGCCACCAUC
rnacentral:antisense_RNA from 1 species